UCUCCGUUGGUGAACCAGCGGAGGGAUCAUUACCGAGUUUACAACUCCCAAACCCCUGUGAACAUACCAUUUGUUGCCUCGGCGGUGCCUGCUUCGGCAGCCCGCCAGAGGACCCAAACCCUUGAUUUUAUACAGUAUCUUCUGAGUAAAUGAUUAAAUAAAUCAAAACUUUUAACAACGGAUCUCUUGGUUCUG
rnacentral:misc_RNA from 1 species